GUAAGCACAAAGCCUUAAGGGCGCCGUUUGCCCCAAGUCAAGGUGCCCACGCUUUCUUGCUCAGGUGCACUCCAGGCACCAGGGAAUCUUAGGGCCGGGUCUGGAAGGAUGACAUCACUAGUUGACAUUUUCUCCUACUUUUUUCUGACCACUGUGCUAUAUCAGGGUUUCAAGUGCUUAGAAAAACUAAUUGUAGCACCGAUUUGCAUCUCGUUUGCUGUCUGUGAAGAACGCCAGUGUGAGGUGAGGUAAUCUAUAUAGUGUAGUAGGUAGUAUCCCAAUUUUUCGAAUGAACCUCCUGGAAUUUUAAGAGGCUAAACAUGGCUCAAGUAAUUAAGUUAUAGAGUUUAAUGGAAUUGAUAUUUUCUGACUCCACUCAGCCCACAUAGAAAGCAGAAUAUUACAUUCCUUCCUCCUCUAGUUGAUAACUGGGAUGGAGAAAUGUCAUUUUGGAAGACCUCUGUGAAAACUGAUGCGCCAUGAAGGCAUUAUAGAGGACUCUAAAGAUUCACACAAGACUCUACAGUGAGCUGUAGACCUUCGACUAGAUCUUUCAGCUAUUCAACGCACAGACAGCCCUUUGCACCCAUCCACACCUGGCCCUGAAGGUGGCCAUUGUAAGUCUACCUUGUAAAUCCAUAAUUAUAUUAUAUUAAAUAUAUUAAAAUGAAAAUAAUAUUAAAUCUGUUUCUCUAGUGCGCACCAACUGAUACAUGUAGGCAAUACCUUCCUCAGUUUCACAUCUCAAAAUCACAAAUGUAAUAGGCC
rnacentral:lncRNA from 1 species